rnacentral:sRNA from 1 species
UGGACGAAGUUCACGUUUUGUGCCUUGUA